CACACACACACACACACACACACACACACACACACACACACACACACACACACACACCACACACACAACCACUCUCUCUUUUGCUCUCUCUCUCUCUUUUUUUUACACACUCAGAGACACAAUAUUGGAGCACUUUAAAUGUUUGGCUUGUUUUCAGGUGUCAGCUCAACGAUUAGUUGGAACAUAUGCAGACCCACAGAGUCUCUCUCACAGACGGGCACACAUACUUUACUUUAUUGUGCUUAAUCACAAAUAUAAAAACACAGAUGCUAUUGCACAAUUUGUCCCCUUCUCCGUUCUCUCUCUCUCUCUCUCUCUCUCUCUCUCUCUCUCUCUCUCUCUCUCUCUCUCUCUCUCUCUCUCUUCUCUCUCUCUCUCUCUCUCUCUCUCUCUCUCUCUCUCUCUUACACAAUCUGCAGCGUCCAUUCCAUCAUUAAAAGUGUUAUGAAAACACUAACACAAACCAAGCGCACACAUACAAACAGAAAAACACCCACAAAUCUCACAACAGUACAGUCUGUCCAGUGGUUCUGUUCGACCUGUCUUCAACAUUCACAACAUUGAUAGCCACCUGACCCAGGGUGUGAAAGUUCUGUGUCCGUUUGUGUAUGUCGGGGGGCAGGACAGGCGAGGGGGUGGGUGGGGGAUCAGGGUCUUGGAGUUGGAUUACCGAUGGACACCCUGCAUUGCCGAGCUUUCUAAGCAUAGGCGAGUUUUCCAUUGUCACCCAGCUGUCACUCCCAUCUUGAUGCUGUGAAAGUGUGUGUGUGUCUGCGUGCGCACUCCCCUCACAUAUACACAUUUAUGUACUAUGUAUACGUGUGCGACAGAACAAUCACUUGACACCUAACAUGCAUGACAAUACUGGUGGGAGCAUCCAUCCACCACAAUCUCCUAGUUCCGACUACAUUAAGUUGUCUUUAAACAGCGCUGCAUCACUCAUCGGUGGGGAACAGGUGGGGAAUGUGAAAUCCCUGAAGAGUAAAAAAUACAUUUGAUUUAUGGACUAAAUUGGAGCUAAAUACGAUGCGUCUAUCACUGGAGGCUUAAGAACCAAACUGUUGUGGAAAAGUGUCUAUAAUUAGCAUCGGCAAACAAUCAUCGGUCACCGCUGGAGUCUGAGGAGCUCUUUGUCUCUCAAUGGCCCCCUUUGUCUCCCCGCUAGGUGACAGGUGCCGAUACGGUGACCUACUUACCUCCAACCCUCGCCUAGAUGUCCUGCGCCAACAGAGAUGGACAUUGACGGAUGAGGCAGCAUUGGUUGUCACCCCCCUAACCCCACCCAUCUCCGGCUAAAUCAUUUGGCCACACCCGCCGACGGUACAAGCCUCACAGAAUGGCUGGUACCAUGUGGUACAAGUAUUGCUGAACUAUAACCAAGGAAAACAGUGCAACACACCGAGAUUCCCGCAACUGAAGAACUGGAUAAAGGGAAGAUGUUAUCCAUACUGUCUCCCAUGCAGUUGCAAUGUUAUCUUCACACGUGAAUGGACUCCACGUGUGUCGACAUAAGCCAAACAUCAAAACCGGUCCCAUGGUCAGAACAUGUGGUUUGAGUGAAGCUAUAGAAAGGCACAUGCUGACCCCAGUACUUCACACAUUACGGACGUGAAAGGACCAUGGCUAUGCUAUCGGACGUUUGGGUGUACCUGCAGUGCUUACGCUGUUUCAGAGCCUCUGCAGAAAAGCCAAGACACGUUUCUUUGGAUGUUGCGGCGAGAUUACAAAUGUUGCUAUUAAAGG